rnacentral:pre_miRNA from 1 species
CAUAUACUCCCUCCGUCUGAAAAAGCUUGUCCCAAGUUUGUUCCUCAAAUGGAUGUAUCUUGCACUAACUUGAUGCGCACAUACAUCCAUUUGAAGGACAAGCUUUUUCGAAUGGAGGGAGUAGUAA